CUGCCCGUGUCAGCAAUCCGCUCUCACCCCAUGCUAGCCCCACCCCGUUCCCUCGGGCUUAUACUGUCAAGCACUUCCUCAUUAAAUCAGACCUGCGCCGUCAGCCUCGUCUCCGUGUGGGUUCUUCCCCUCGUCCUUACUUGCCUGCGGCCCCUCUGCGGACUCCUCACCCAGCGAGCCGCAACCUCAUCAUUGGAGAGUGGAUGUAACUCAGUGGUGGCCUUACGCUUACAUUGAGUUCAAUCUCCGGUAACUCUUGGGGGGAAAAAAAAAAAAAUCAGUGGUGGCCGGGUGACGUCAUCAACCAGCGCCGGAAGCCAUUCCCAGAAAACACCUCCGCAAAAUGGUAAAGACUGGAGAGGGGCUCCAGGAAUGCCGAAUUGAAGAAAGAGAAAAGUAUCAGGUAGGAAACUUCUAUCCAGGACCAACUGGUCCUCUUCGCUUCCCUCUCAGCGGGGGCCCUGCAAAGCUUCUGGGUUCUGCAGCAAGCAGCCUGGACCCCUCUCUCCGGGGAAAGAGGUUUUCGGGGAACUAACAGCAGUGAGUUGGGGCCCCGUGCGUAUCCAGGCACAGAGACCCAGUGCUGAAAACAAUUUGCUGCGGGGUGCUGGAAGCAAAUGGGCCCCCAUUUGGGGGGGGGGGUAGGGAAUAAAAUCUCAGAUUGGCUGUGGUUGAGCGAUGCCAUCACUACAUCCAGUUUGUGUGGGUUGAAUUCCCCAAAUGCAGAAUGGACCUUUCCGAGGGUCCCACUUUUCUGCAACGACUCUCUGAGGCAAGAUAACCUAGCAGGGAAGAAACUUUAGGCAGAAAAGCCUCACAGAGAAAAAUGGAGAGGGAGGAUUAAACUGAACACCUGCUGGACUGGAGAGUUCCAGAAAUGAAAAGUGUAAGGAAAAUGGGGUGUGGAGAAGUAGGAGCCUGUGACCACCCCCACCUGAGAGGGAAAUUCCACAGCCCCCUAACCGCCUAUAUCUCGCUUCUGUAACAAGCUUGUUUGACUAUAAAACCUUAUCUCAAGGCCUCCUCCUGUAGAAAGUGUCAUCAGCCCCUGCCAAAAGACCAACCUGACCCAGACCCUUGUAAAUAACAAGAACUCCCUGACAGCCUGUCUCCCCUGAUAGAAUUCCCAGCACUUGAUUAACUGCAAACACCUGCUUCUGUAUGUGCUUGCUUGCUGAGCUAUUGCCCCCCCCCGCCCUGAACCUAAAAGCCUAUAUAAGCAAACUCCCCCCAUGACUCAGGGAUGCUCUCCCUUUUGUGUAGGACAAGGCAGUCACCAUGUGGCUAAUAAAGCUCUCAAUUGGAACUUUAUUCAGAGUCUGAGUCUGGUCGAUAUCGCUAGUCUGUAACAGGGGAACCAAGUGAGGAAGAGACUUUAAACAAAUCAUAGGAACAGGGGACAAAAUUCUACACAUAAACAAAGAGAACAGAUGAAGAUUCCUGAAGAAGGAAGAGAGGAAAAACUGGCAAGUUAGGGUAGGCUGUUAUGUUUCUUGUAUUGGGGAAAGGAGUGCUUUUAAGAGAUAGGAAUUAAGUUAAGCUUCAGUUUGCUGAUGUAGGGCUUAGCAUAAAGGUCUCCAUCUAGGGUCUGUGUAAUUUAUUUAUCUCACCUCAGUUUGAUCUGGCUGUCAGCCAUUGAGAGUUGUGAUAAAAAUGUAAGGUGUUGAACCUGUUUUCAUUUACUGCCUAAGGCCUUGGGGUAAUAUUUGCUAGUUGUUUUCAUGUUGGGAUCAUAGAUGGUCAUGAUGUCAGUUUUAACAUGAUCAUAAUUUUUAGAUCAUCCCAGACAUAAAGAAAUCAUUUGCUGGGUCACAAGUGGUUGGUGACCUACAUUCAAAUCCUUGGGAAAAACAGUCCACCAGGGAGAUUAUAAUGAAUACUAUGAGUGAUAAAAUGUCCAAAUGCCCACCCAUAGUAUAUGCCUAAGCCCAGUUCCCAUGUUUUGACCCAAAUGAAAUCAAAGUGAUCAAAAGUAAGGCCUUACCUGUUUAAAUCAGGUAGUGCAUUUAAUUAUUUCAUUCACUUUUACCUUAACCUCCACAGAAGUAUGUACCCAAAUACAACAGGUGGUGUUGGCCAUGACAAAAGUGCCUCCUUGUGCAGCUAAUAAAUAACAAGUAAUAAGUAACAAAUCUAAUGACUUGUUAUGCAGCUAUAGCUUUAGCAGUAGAUUCAGUAAUUUCUCCUAUUGUAAAUCUAAUCCUGUUCUCAUUUGUGUUAGCCCUAAGCCAAGAUAACAGCAAUCUGCCCAAAGAACCAAACCUAGAAUCAUUACCUCCUUGGGUAAAUUCUCUUUCCCCUGAGAUUGUAGCUUGAGGGGAGUAGUCCAGUGAGAAGUUUCAGAUUUAUUAUGAAUUCCUAAAGGACUGUGAGGUGACAAAAUGCUUAUUGCCCAGGCAUUUUAUCAACUAUAAAGGUAAUUUACAACCCAGUCAACUAUCUGAUAACAUUUUCAAAAUAAAAAUAUUGACUGGGGAAGUGGAUGUGGCUGAAGUGAUCAGGCUCCCAUCUACCAUAGAGGAGGUCCAGGGUUUGAUUCCCAGGGCUGCCUGUUGAAAGGCAAGCUGGCCAUAAUGGUGAGCUGGCCUGAGUGGAGUGCUGAGAGCUGGCCCAUACAGAGAGCUGGCCCAGCAAGAUGAUGCAACAAUAAAGGCACAGAGGAGAGACAAUAAGAGAUGCAGAAGACCAGGGAGCUGAGGUUGCACAAGAGUUUGAGCACAUCUCUCUUCUGGAAAGUCCCAGGAUCAAUUCCCAGUGCCACCUAAAGAGAAGACAAGCAGACAUAGAAGAACACACAGAGAGCAGACAGUGAAUACAAGGCAAUGGGGUGGAAGGAAAAUGAAUAGAUAAAAUAAAUCUUAGAAAAAAAUUUUAAAUUAUUGCCUGGCAGAACAAUAUAAGUAUAGUCAAUGUGAUGUUGUUUAUAGAUUUAUUAGUAGGAAUACUAUCAUUUGUCCUUAGUGUCCAAGGGUCUGUCUUAUUGAGACUAUAAAUGAAAAGCUUACCAGAAUUUAUUUGUGUUGUGAAUAUUUUGCAGAUCCAGUAACCUAAACCUGAAAGUGGACAUGCAUUGUUAAUAUAACUUGUAGUUUGUGGAAGUAUGUGGACUAUUAUGGCAAGUUUUCCGAAUUCUUCUGUGAUAUCUUUAUAAUUCUCUCAAUCAGUUGUGUCUAUUAUGUAGUUUACACUGAGCAAAAACAGGUACUUUCCUUCCAAUGCACUUUAAAGAACAAUUCCUGAGACACUGGGUUUCCAAGUGAGAAAGUUUAUUUGCUAGGCAAGCAAAGAGAUCAUUGGUCUAGCAAGGACCCAAAAACCUGUCUCCUUGAUUUGGAGGAGUUUAAGGUUUUUAUGGUUUCAAACAGAGGAGGAUGGAGUGGUUAUAAUCACGAUAGUAAAAAUACACAAACCUAGUUUUCAAAUAACCAUAAACAAAAGUAAGAUCAGACUGUAAUAACCAUCACAAUAGUAUGUGUACACAAGGAUGUGCCUCAUUUGAAAUAACCAUAAAGAAAGGUGAGGUUGACCUAGCCAGUUUCAGUAAUUUCAGGUAUUAACUUUGGACUAUUCUAUAGUAUAGUGAAAAAAUAAGGGGAAGAAACAUCUGUAUAAUGAUUCAAU
rnacentral:lncRNA from 1 species